GUCCACCAAGGGACAGGUGAUCUGAUUCCAGCCAAUAAGACUAAGGAGGCCUUUGUUGGAGUUUCAUAAAAAAGAAGUUCCCACUUUUCUGAAAGAGCUGCAGGAAGCCACUUCUUUCUACUACUGGAAGGGGAUGAGGCAGGGUGCAGCCCAACCUGUAGCUGGCAGCCAUGCCAUAACCACAAGAACGGCCCCUAAGGCAGAGUCAACUCUAGGAUGGAGAAUAGAAGGAAGUAAAGAUCCUGGGCCCUUGAUGAGAUCUUUGAGCCAUUGGAUCUUCCAGCCGUGAAGACUGCCCUUCAUCGGACUACAGUAAAAAAGCCACAUUAGAGCUGCUCACAGUGGUUUGCACCUAUAAUCCUAGCACUCAGGAGGCUGAGGCAAGAGGAGCACGAGUUUGAGACCAGUGUGGACUGCACAGUGAAUUCAGAGCUGGCCUGAACUACAAAACAAGACCCUAUCUCAAAACAAAAGGCACUUUCCGUUAGGAUUUUGAAUACUCACAGCUUCUAUUCACUGAUGAACAGCCUUUCCAUGCAACAAGAGGAACAAGACACAUGGAGAGAUCCUGGUUCAGAAGACCUAGAAUGGAGAGGAGGCUAAGAAUCUGCAUUUUCAUCAGAGAUACAGGAUAUCAUGGAUAGAAGGUUGAUCAGGAGCCACCUGUGAAGAAGCUCUGGAAUUGGAAGCAGGACAGAGAGGCCUGUAAAGAUUAACUUUUUCAUUCAUUUUUUAGAGCUGCUAACAGCUUGUACUGUAACUAACACUGGGUGAAAAGAUAAUCAGGGGCAAUGAAGAAAAGGCUAAAAACACCUCUCCAGCCUCUCCACCCUGGAGCAAUGUCCAGGAGGCCAAGGAGAAAGGGCAGGAGCCUCCAUGACCUCUGAAAAGGGAAGGCUGGGGCCACUCCAUUCUGGCCCCAGCCUUGCACAUGAUCUGAUUCUUUUUGGAUAACAUAAAUAAUAACAGUGAAGUAAAAACCCUAUUAAAAAAAAAACUUGACUCUGGUGACCCAGAGACUAGCCAGGGAAUAACCACAUCGCAAUCACCUAGACUUUGCACUGAGAAGCACAAAUUUCUAGCAGUUCUCCCCUCCUUCCCUCUUUCCACUCCUUACUGCUGUGACACUGGGUCUCGUGAUGUGGUCAGCUGUCUUCCCUUUUACAAUCCGGAGCCUUUUCCUAUCUCUUGACAAACAUGAAAAAGGGAUCUUGAAUAAAAAGCUGAGCAUGA